rnacentral:rRNA from 1 species
UACGGGGGGGGCAAGCGUUGUCCGGAUUUACUGGGCGUAAAGAGCGCGCAGGCGGUCGUUCAAGUCGAGUGUGAAAGCCCCCGGCUCAACUGGGGAGGGUCAUUCGAUACUGAUCGACUCGAAGGCAGGAGAGGGAAGUGGAAUUCCCGGUGUAGUGGUGCAAUGCGUAGAUAUCGGGAGGAACACCAGUGGCGAAGGCGACUUCCUGGCCUGUUCUUGACGCUGAGGCGCGAAAGCUAGGGGAGCAAACGGG